UAUUAUCAUUAUUAUUAUUAUUAUUUAUUAUUAAUAUUAUUAUUAUUAUAUUUAUUAUCAAAAAAAUAAAUAACCGAUUGAGCAUUAGAAUCGAAGUUUUGCCUAUGAAAAAGUAUCAAUGGUUAUGUUAAACAUGUAUGCAAAGUUAUCGUUUAUGGAUACAUGAUAUUUCCAAUUUAAUAUUGCAUUAUUUUGGAUCGAAUAAAGGUCUUAGCAUGCUGGUUUCUUCCAUUAUCACCGACCUUAGUAUAAAUCCGUGGCAUUAUUAAUGCUAAAUGCUUUAUAACACAAACGGUAUCUAGGCAUAUCCCUCGUUUUCAAAACAGCCAAUGAGUUUAAAGCGUUGGUUUUGUAUCAUGUGAAUCCUAUCAACCAAUCAGAAAUAGCGCGGGCGAAAUGAAAAAAGAAAAACGGGAUUGGAAAUGGAUAGUAAAUAAAAUUCAGAAUAUUGCAAAACAAGGACAGUUAAAUCUUCUAGAAAUGCAGCUGUGCCCUCUUUACAGCAAUUGUAGAUGAAGCAAAGUAUGGUAGCAAGUUAUAUAGAUAUACACACAUGCCGAAGAGGAUUGUAAUAUCUGGAGAUAACAUUUCCUACGUCACGAAAUAGACACCGUCACACUGGUCUACGUAACAUUCCUAUAAAUGAUUGAUAUAUUAAAGUGCUUUUAAGAACGGUGUUUGAAUGACGAAUUUCUGUGAAUACGGAUUUUUAGUUUUAAUGAUUAUUAUUAAAACUUUCUGUAAUAAUCAAUUUGUGCUAUGGACUCAUUUUCCUAAAAUAAUAUGUGAAUGUUAACACAAACAAAUGAUAUGAAUAUCUUUAAAAUAUUUUAUGGGUGUAAUACAAGUGGCUCAUAAAAAUCAUUGUUAAGAUAAAUAGAAUCAACCUUCAAGUUGGUAUAGUUUGUUCUAGAUUUAAACAACAUGCAAUUCAUAAAGGUUACUGCUUGAAAAUAUCGAAACAUGUACAUGUAUAACUCGAUCUCUAAAGAAAAUAUCGCAGUGCGGAUUUUCUCCACUUUGAUACGUAUUUCAUGACUCUGUAUCGCAUCAUACCGGUAUAUCGCCGUUCCGUUGCAACGCUACAUUAAUUUGUCCCUCUGGAAUAAGGCUUGCAACAAUAUAUGACUGGCGAAGACAUGUUUAUUUUGUUUAAUAUAUGUAUACAUAUUGAAUAUAUGUUUAUGAAAUAAUAAAUAUUUAAGAGUGACUCUAUUUGGUUUUUACUUUAUUAUUUGAAAUACUCCAAUUGUGAAGAUAAAGCUCUUAAGUCUAUGACUUUACAGUUCCCAUUCAAAAUGUGUAAUAAAACAUGUUCUAUUGUACAAGUCUGCAUUUCGGUCAUGUAUACGUGUCACUUAUAUGUAAAUGCAUGCUUUUGAUAUUAUCUGUAUCUUCUUUUAUCAAGAAAAUACAGUUCUAUAUUCCCUGUGGACAACUAAAAAUGCAAUUCCGUAUAUCCCCUGUAUAUAUUGAAAAUAUGAUUCUGUAUACCCCCUGUAUAUGUAGAAAAUACGAUUCCGUAUAUCUUCUGUAUAUGUAGAAAAUACAAUUCCGUAUAUCAUCUGUAUAUGUGGAAAAUACGAGUCCGUAUAUCCUCUGUAUAUGUAGAAUAUACGGUUCCGUAUAUGCUCUGUAUACGUAGAAAAUACGAGUCCGUAUAUCCUCUGUAUAUGUAGAAAAUACGGUCCCGUAUAUCCUCGGUAUAUUUAUAGUAUACUAGGGAAAACAACCUUAAUAUAGUCCGUAUACGGGAUUUUAUUCUCCGUAUACUUCAAAAGUACGAACAAAUAUACGUUCAUGUAUAUGGGGCAAAUACGGAAUUCCGUAUAUGCCUGAUGCAUAUACGGACUUCCCGUAUACCCGGUGUUCCCUAUACGGACUCGUAUACUUGGUCCGUAUAUUCGACGAAUUCAUCCCGUACACGCCCGUAUAUGUCAAAAAUACGGGACCGUAUAUUCCCGUAUAUCAGUAUAUUUUUC